AUGGACAUCCAGGACCAGAGAUGCCCUUGCUCUGAAGCAAGCGCCCAUAUCGCACUGCCUCAAACUGUAGGGUGCUGGGCUGGCUCACGUUUCAUCUCUCAGGUUGCUGUUCAAGUUGCAACCAGAGAAUUUCAUGUGCUGAGCUGGGAAACAGGACACCAGGGUCCUUCCCUCCAUUCUCCCCCCACCUCUGGGAAACUGCCACGCCCAGCCACUAAGACCAAGACUUCGUGCACUAAGACUGUGUUGACAGAUAAGCAGAAAAGUACAGCACUGGUUUCCUCUAGGGUUCUGCCCUGUGUUUCAGUUAAGAGAAAUUUCACACAUACACACAGACACAGACACACACUCUCUCUCUCUCUCUCUCUCUUUCUAAGAAAUGAAUAUAGAGUAGCUAAAACCAGACAAGUUCUGAAUCACUGGGGCUUGAGACCCAAGCCUGAGACUGUGUUCCUAAUUGGCCACAUUGACAGCAGACACCCAGCUCCUCUGUCCCCCUCUCUUGGAUCCUGCACAGACGCAGCCAAACUCUUCCCCACCAAACCAGCUUUAGACUCUCCUGCGCCUGGCAAUCCAUGCCCUCUUCUUCGCCCCUCUCCUGAAGAUUCCUGUGACUAUGCGUCUGGAAGUGCUUUCUGCCAAGACACCACUUUCCUCCUCUGAUCUCAUUUGGUUUGUCUGACCCUUGGCUGGUUCUAAUCCUUGGUGAGUUCCUUCACAUACUGCUCUAAGCUUGCCCUUUGACUACAUUACCUCGAGCCUUUCUACAAGGCUCCAGCUCUGUUUCCUGGCCAGAAGUAGAAAUUCCCUCUCCCGCUGUGCAGAAGCCCCACUCACAGUAUUCGGCUUCAUUGCUUCUGUGUCUCUCCAGCUCCAUUGCUUGAAGAGCAGAGAUAACAAGGUGUAGGUUCUGUGUAUGCAUCCAUGUUCUCAUUGAUGGCUCAGCCAGCAUCUCUAAAGUUUUUUUAAUGAUUAAGGGCCUUUGAGUUCCCCUGUGGCACUUCCUUGGAGGUAAGGGCUUGGGUGAAGUUGUUCUUUUGGCUGUUGAUCCCAGGGGAGCACAGGGAAUAUGAAACAGGGAAGGGAGGAAAGCUAAUAAAGAAUGUGUUAAGAAGCUUUGGGCAAGCAGGGCUUACUCCAGCAGGAAACCCUUAGGAGACUGCAGAACAUUCCUCAGAAUGAGGGCAAGGACGUUGGGUUAUUUAUCCAGCCAAGCCUUUCCCUCUUUGGCCAAGGGUUAUUCCUUGGGCAAUAAUUCCCUGGCACUUGCAGAC
rnacentral:lncRNA from 1 species